AUGCACUGUCACGGCAGAGAGCCCCAAAUCCUUCCGAAAUUGCCUGACUCUCGUUUUUCCCCGGCGCAGAGUAGAAAGCAGGCUGCUGUCCCUGGAGGCGCGGUUCGCACAGCUGGACUCCAGCCUGCAGACGCUGGCGCACGAGUUCGACCUGCAGGCGGAGAUGCUGCGGGAGGACCUGAGGCGGGACGUGCCCUGGGCACCUGCGGCCAGCAGGCUCGGCGGAGGAGUUGGAGGAGGAGAAGGAGGAGACAGAAGAAGAGGAGGAGAAGAAGGAGGAGAAGGAAGGAGAAGAGGAGGCGGAGCCGGAGUCCUCAGCCGGGCGGCGGGAACUGCCCCUCAGUGAGGGGCGGAGCGGAGCCGCCAUUGCGGGAGCCGCGGCCUUUCCCGGGCUCCGGAGCGUAUUCCUGGGCCAAGUGGAAAAACCGUGUGAGGAGACAGGUGACCCCCCACAGUUUCAAGUCAUACAAGAAGGUGCUGAAGUCUUAAUUCUUCAUUUAUCUUAAGAAAAAAAGAAUUCUAGCUUUAUAGUCCUAGCUUAAGCAAGCAAAUGAAUGAGGAAGAAGCUGCUCUGCUGUGAUAUAUUUCACCUUCAGAACGUGCUGGAAGCAAGAUUGUGCCAAAAGCAGCUCUCAAAGGAAGCGCUUAUACUGAAAAAAUGAGUGAAUGGAAGGUUAAGGUAACUUGAACAACGUAUCCAGCAUACCUUAUCGUAGAUAGGGAGUGGUGGGAGAAGAGGGGAGUAACAGAGGUGGAUGGAAGAAAUCUCACCUUCUUUUCCCCUCUCUCCUUACCACCUCUUUGCUACCCCCAGAGCACCGGUCACAGCUCACAGGGAACUGCAGUAGGAAAACCUGGUACAGUUUUUCCAUGACUUCUGUAAAGAUCUGCUUCUUCCUCAAGAAUCUCUCAGGCCCUGAGCAAAAGCAACCACUGAAGCAGGCUUCUAAAUCCACUAACAUUUUCUUAAAGCAGCUGUAAAACAUUUUAUAUUUUCCUUUAUUUUAAUUUCCAUAAGGGACAUAAAUGUUUCUUUUUGCUUGCAGGCCCUGAUGUUGUCCUAGUGCUG
rnacentral:lncRNA from 1 species